rnacentral:lncRNA from 1 species
UGCUGGACGGGCAGGAGAAGACGCUGGACGUUUCCCAGAUUGACAGCAGGCCAAGCCCCUCGAAGUCGAAGCAGCAGAAGACACUGGACGGCUUGGGACCAAGCCCCUCAAAGCAACAGAAGACACUGGACGGCUUCCUCAAGCGGCCCAACACCUCCACGUCCAUGGAACUGGACCGCUUGGGACCAAGCCCCUCGAAGCAACAGAAGACACUGGACGGCUUCCUCAAGCGGCCCAACACCUCCACGUCCAUGGAGGAGGGUAUGCCCAGCCCCAGCACGAAGCGGCGGAUCUGAGGGACAACGGCACCGGAUCAAGGCUCGGCCACAUGGCUGCCUUUUUGUUGUAUUGUAGGACGUGUUUGGACUAGGCACUUGGGCACUGGACAGACGGUCG